UGGGGAAUUUUGGACAAUGGGCGAAAGCCUGAUCCAGCCAUGCCGCGUGUGUGAAGAAGGUCUUCGGAUUGUAAAGCACUUUAAGUUGGGAGGAAGGGCAGUUACCUAAUACGUGAUUGUUUUGACGUUACCGACAGAAUAAGCACCGGCUAACUCUGUGCCAGCAGCCGCGGUAAUACAGAGGGUGCAAGCGUUAAUCGGAAUUACUGGGCGUAAAGCGCGCGUAGGUGGUUAGUUAAGUUGGAUGUGAAAUCCCCGGGCUCAACCUGGGAACUGCAUUCAAAACUGACUGACUAGAGUAUGGUAGAGGGUGGUGGAAUUUCCUGUGUAGCGGUGAAAUGCGUAGAUAUAGGAAGGAACACCAGUGGCGAAGGCGACCACCUGGACUGAUACUGACACUGAGGUGCGAAAGCGUGGGGAGCAAACAGGAUUAGAUACCCCUGUAGUCCCUGAGCGGGCUGGCAAGGCGCAU
rnacentral:rRNA from 1 species